GCGAACAGACGAGGAGCUUGCUCCUCUGACGUUAGCGGCGGACGGGUGAGUAACACGUGGAUAACCUACCUAUAAGACUGGGAUAACUUCGGGAAACCGGAGCUAAUACCGGAUAAUAUAUUGAACCGCAUGGUUCAAUAGUGAAAGACGGUUUUGCUGUCACUUAUAGAUGGAUCCGCGCCGCAUUAGCUAGUUGGUAAGGUAACGGCUUACCAAGGCAACGAUGCGUAGCCGACCUGAGAGGGUGAUCGGCCACACUGGAACUGAGACACGGUCCAGACUCCUACGGGAGGCAGCAGUAGGGAAUCUUCCGCAAUGGGCGAAAGCCUGACGGAGCAACGCCGCGUGAGUGAUGAAGGUCUUCGGAUCGUAAAACUCUGUUAUUAGGGAAGAACAAAUGUGUAAGUAACUAUGCACGUCUUGACGGUACCUAAUCAGAAAGCCACGGCUAACUACGUGCCAGCAGCCGCGGUAAUACGUAGGUGGCAAGCGUUAUCCGGAAUUAUUGGGCGUAAAGCGCGCGUAGGCGGUUUUUUAAGUCUGAUGUGAAAGCCCACGGCUCAACCGUGGAGGGUCAUUGGAAACUGGAAAACUUGAGUGCAGAAGAGGAAAGUGGAAUUCCAUGUGUAGCGGUGAAAUGCGCAGAGAUAUGGAGGAACACCAGUGGCGAAGGCGACUUUCUGG
rnacentral:rRNA from 1 species